GACGAACGCUGGCGGCGUGCUUAACACAUGCAAGUCGAACGGAAAGGCCCUGCUUGCCGGGUGCUCGAGUGGCGAACGGGUGAGUAACACGUGGGUGAUCUGCCCCUUACUUUGGGAUAAGCCUGGGAAACUGGGUCUAAUACUGGAUAGGACCAUGCUGUAGGCGGUGUGGUGGAAAGAUUAGUUUCGGUAAGGGAUGAGCUCGCGGCCUAUCAGCUUGUUGGUGGGGUAAUGGCCUACCAAGGCGUCGACGGGUAGCCGGCCUGAGAGGGUGGACGGCCACAUUGGGACUGAGAUACGGCCCAGACUCCUACGGGAGGCAGCAGUGGGGAAUAGUGCACAAUGGGCGCAAGCCUGAUGCAGCGACGCCGCGUGGGGGAUGACGGCCUUCGGGUUGUAAACUCCUUUCAGCCAUGACGAAGCCCUUGUGGUGACGGUAGUGGUAGAAGAAGCACCGGCUAACUACGUG
rnacentral:rRNA from 1 species